rfam:Cochliobolus heterostrophus C5 unplaced genomic scaffold COCHEscaffold_4, whole genome shotgun sequence.
AACAAGCCGCUCAAAAGAUGAUAUGUACAUCGACCAUAUAAUAUUUUAGGAAGAGCCGGAAAAGGUAUGGCUAGCAUCGACAUAUGCUACGCUGUCGCUGCUUAUAACUUGGUCUCUGAAGAGCUUCGUCACUUU